GAUGAACGCUGGCGGCGUGCCUAAUACAUGCAAGUCGAGCGAACGGACGAGAAUCUUUCUUCUCUUAUGUUAGCGGCGGACGGGUGAGGAAUACGUGUAUAACCUACCUAUAAGACUGGGGUAACUUCGCGAAACCUGAUCUAGUACCCGUUAUUAGUGUGAACCUCAUGGAUCUUAGGUGAAAGCCGUUCUUGCUGUCACUUAGAGGUGUAUCCUGGCUGCAUUAGCUAGUUGGUAAGGUAACGGCCUACCAAGGCAACGAUGCGUAGCUGACCUGAGAGGAUGAUCGGCCACACUGGAACUGAGACACGGUCCAGACUCCUACGGGAGGCAGCAGUAGGGAAUCUUCGGCAAUGGGCGAAAGCCUGACGGAGCCACGCCGCGUGAGUGAUGAAGGUCUUCGGAUUGUAAAGCUCUGUUAUUAGGGAAGAACAUAUGUGUAAGUAAAUGUGCACGUCUUGACGGUACCAAAACAGAAAGCCACGGCUAACUACGUG
rnacentral:rRNA from 1 species